rnacentral:sRNA from 1 species
UGUAUCUGAAGCCUGAAGAGGAUGAGAACCUCCGGGGGCAAGAGGUUCGACUCGAGCGCAGCGAGAGAACGUUGCGUCAGCAACGGCCCGCAGGGCGAGCCACGCAGUGGCGAGUCAUCCUCUAUCACCGACAG